UUCAACGAGUUCUCUUUUUGGUUGAAUAUUGUGUGUAUCCUUUUUCAGCUCACUGUUUAAUUUCAUUUCUAGGUCCAUUAUAGUAUCUUCCUACAUAGCUGUAUAUCAUGAAGCAGAAUCUCGAGGAAUCUGAAACUUUAUAUACUUGUGUGCUAUUCUAAAUACAUGUUUUAUCUGGUGCAGGCACUUGAUAAAUCGCAGCUUGGAGCCCUUCUUCGUCAAAGAGGCGAAAAGCUUGAUUCACCAGUGCUUGAAAAUGGGGAAAAUUGGAGUGUGGGACAACGAAAACUUGUUUCAUUGGGCCGUGCUUUGCUUAAGCAGGCAAGAAUACUUGUUCUUGAUGAAGCCACUGCUUCUGUUGAUACAGCGACAGAUAAUCUUAUCCAGACUCUAAUAAGGGCAGAGUUCAGGGACUGCACAGUUGUGAUGAUAGCACACAGAAUACCAACAGUUAUGGAUAGUGAUUUUGUGUUGGUCCUCAGUGACGUGUGCUCAACAAGUCGGCGCCCGCGAGUGUGGCUAUUACAUUAUGAAGUUCAUGCAUGAAAUAGUCACGUUACACCAUAACUCUGAUGAGCGGUUAGAUAAUGCUUACACUCCAAGAAAUGCGCCUUAUACCGAUGAGGAAAUAGAUGUGGUUCGUGAGCAAUGGGCUAAGUUUUUUACAACCGAGUAUUUAUUUACUUAGGUUGUUUAGACACAAAGAUGGAAGCGUUUAUAUCUUCAUGGAUUUGCUUGUUUUGAGUACUGGAAGCGGUGUUAAUGGUUUCACUCUAGAUCCAUCUCCUUGGAGAGUAUAUUUUAACUCAUCCAGACAUCAAGGGAUCGAGUCGAUUGGAAGAAAUUCAACACUGCCUUAAUUAAGGUUUAUAAUGCAUGAUCUAAAGGGAGCUAAGUGGCCGGAUUAGAGAAAUUUGUUAGACUAGCUCUCUAGCCUUUUGUCUUUAUUUGUUAAUAUUAGUUGUAAUUUGUUAGACUAGCUAGGUGUUUAAAAUUGCAAACGUACGUACUAUACGCUUGGGUUACUAUAAAUGAAGUUAAUGUAAUGAUUUAUUUAUUAAAAAUAAGCAGAUUCAUACCUUUGCUA